rnacentral:rRNA from 1 species
GGAAUAUUGCACAAUGGGCGCAAGCCUGAUGCAGCCAUGCCGCGUGUGUGAAGAAGGCCUUAGGGUUGUAAAGCACUUUCAGCGAGGAGGAAGGGUUCAGUGUUAAUAGCACUGUGCAUUGACGUUACUCGCAGAAGAAGCACCGGCUAACUCCGUGCCAGCAGCCGCGGUAAUACGGAGGGUGCAAGCGUUAAUCGGAAUUACUGGGCGUAAAGCGCACGCAGGCGGUUUGUUAAGUCAGAUGUGAAAUCCCCGCGCUUAACGUGGGAACUGCAUUUGAAACUGGCAAGCUAGAGUCUUGUAGAGGGGGGUAGAAUUCCAGGUGUAGCGGUGAAAUGCGUAGAGAUCUGGAGGAAUACCGGUGGCGAAGGCGGCCCCCUGGACAAAGACUGACGCUCAGGUGCGAAAGCGUGGGGAGCAAACAGGAUUAGAUACCCUAG